UCAAGUGAAUAAGUGCAUCAGGUGGAUGCCUUGGCGAUGAUAGGCGACGAAGGACGUGUAAGCCUGCGAAAAGCGCGGGGGAGCUGGCAAUAAAGCUAUGAUCCCGCGAUGUCCGAAUGGGGAAACCCACCUCUUAGGAGGUAUCCUUAUCUGAAUACAUAGGAUAAGCGAAGCGAACCCGGAGAACUGAACCAUCUAAGUACCCGGAGGAAAAGAAAUCAACCGAGAUUCCGCAAGUAGUGGCGAGCGAACGCGGAGGAGCCUGUACGUGAUAACUGUCGAGAUAGAAGAACAAGCUGGGAAGCUUGACCAUAGUGGGUGAUAGUCCCGUAUUCGAAAUCUCAACAGUGGUACUAAGCGUACGAAAAGUAGGGCGGGACACGUGAAAUCCUGUCUGAAUAUGGGGGGACCAUCCUCCAAGGCUAAAUACUCAUCAUCGACCGAUAGUGAACCAGUACCGUGAGGGAAAGGCGAAAAGAACCCCGGGAGGGGAGUGAAAUAGAACCUGAAACCUGAUGCAUACAAACAGUGGGAGCAUCCUUGUGGUGUGACUGCGUACCUUUUGUAUAAUGGGUCAACGACUUACAUUCAGUAGCGAGCUUAACCGAAUAGGGGAGGCGUAGGGAAACCGAGUCUUAAUAGGGCGAACAGUUGCUGGGUGUAGACCCGAAACCGAGUGAUCUAUCCAUGGCCAGGUUGAAGGUGCCGUAACAGGUACUGGAGGACCGAACCCACGCAUGUUGCAAAAUGCGGGGAUGAGCUGUGGAUAGGGGUGAAAGGCUAAACAAACUCGGAGAUAGCUGGUUCUCCCCGAAAACUAUUUAGGUAGUGCCUCGAGCAAGACACUGAUGGGGGUAAAGCACUGUUAUGGCUAGGGGGUUAUUGCAACUUACCAACCCAUGGCAAACUAAGAAUACCAUCAAGUGGUUCCUCGGGAGACAGACAGCGGGUGCUAACGUCCGUUGUCAAGAGGGAAACAACCCAGACCGCCAGCUAAGGUCCCAAAUGAUAGAUUAAGUGGUAAACGAAGUGGGAAGGCCCAGACAGCCAGGAUGUUGGCUUAGAAGCAGCCAUCAUUUAAAGAAAGCGUAAUAGCUCACUGGUCGAGUCGUCCUGCGCGGAAGAUGUAACGGGGCUCAAAUCUAUAACCGAAGCUGCGGAUGCCAGUUUACUGGCAUGGUAGGGGAGCGUUCUGUAGGCCGAUGAAGGUGCAUUGUAAAGUGUGCUGGAGGUAUCAGAAGUGCGAAUGUUGACAUGAGUAGCGAUAAAGCGGGUGAAAAGCCCGCUCGCCGAAAGCCCAAGGUUUCCUACGCAACGUUCAUCGGCGUAGGGUGAGUCGGCCCCUAAGGCGAGGCAGAAAUGCGUAGUCGAUGGGAAACAGGUUAAUAUUCCUGUACUUGAUUCAAAUGCGAUGUGGGGACGGAGAAGGUUAGGUUAGCAAGCUGUUGGAAUAGCUUGUUUAAGCCGGUAGGUGGAAGACUUAGGCAAAUCCGGGUCUUCUUAACACCGAGAAGUGAUGACGAGUGUCUACGGACAUGAAGUAACCGAUACCACGCUUCCAGGAAAAGCCACUAAGCUUCAGUUUGAAUCGAACCGUACCGCAAACCGACACAGGUGGGCAGGAUGAGAAUUCUAAGGCGCUUGAGAGAACUCGGGAGAAGGAACUCGGCAAAUUGAUACCGUAACUUCGGGAGAAGGUAUGCCCUCUAAGGUUAAGGACUUGCUCCGUAAGCCCUGGAGGGUCGCAGAGAAUAGGUGGCUGCGACUGUUUAUUAAAAACACAGCACUCUGCUAACACGAAAGUGGACGUAUAGGGUGUGACGCCUGCCCGGUGCUGGAAGGUUAAUUGAAGAUGUGCAAGCAUCGGAUCGAAGCCCCAGUAAACGGCGGCCGUAACUAUAACGGUCCUAAGGUAGCGAAAUUCCUUGUCGGGUAAGUUCCGACCCGCACGAAUGGCGUAACGAUGGCCACAC
rnacentral:rRNA from 1 species